AGGGAGACCUAAUUCAGGUAGGAGACGAAAAAAAAGUAGUCGCUACCAAGAAUCAAUCCCAAAAGGUCGGAACGAGGUAUGUGGCUUUCAAACUAGGUUCUGGGUUCAUAAAAGACCUGAAUCAGGAACAAGGGCUAUUAGCUCAGGUGGUUAGAGCGCACCCCUGAUAAGGGUGAGGUCCCUGGUUCGAGUCCAGGAUGGCCCACCUGCACAGGUGGCAAAAACAAGAGAAGCUCCGAAUCAGCACCUUAUCUUACUUAUAUAGUAAGAGAGAAUGCUGGCUCUGAGUUCAGAGUCCAGAGGAACCUUGAAAACUGCAUAGAGCUAGGUGAAAAAGCCAAAAAAGAAGACCGCAA
rnacentral:tRNA from 1 species